rnacentral:rRNA from 1 species
GAUGAACGCUGGCGGCGUGCUUAACACAUGCAAGUCGAACGGAAAGGCCCAAGCUUGCUUGGGUACUCGAGUGGCGAACGGGUGAGUAACACGUGGGUGAUCUGCCCUGCACUUCGGGAUAAGCCUGGGAAACUGGGUCUAAUACCGGAUAGGACCUCUUCUUGGAUGUUGUUGUGGAGAGUUUUUUCGGUGUGGGGUGAGCUCGCGGCCUAUCCGCUUGUUGGUGGGGUAAUGGCCUACCAAGGCGUCGACGGGUAGCCGGCCAGAGAGGGUGUAAGGCCACAUUGGCACUGAGAUGCGGCCCAGACUCCGACGGGAGGCAGCAGUGGGGAAGAUUGAACAAUGGGCGCAAGCCUGAUGCAGCGACGCUGCGUGGGGGAUGACGGCGUUCGUGUUGUAAACUCCUUGCGCUAGGGACGAAGCGUUUUGUGACGGUACCUGGAGAAGAAGCACCGGCUAACUACGUG